UCAUAUUUUCAUGACUCAAAAAAGGUAAUGCAAGGAUUGCUACACCAUACAAAACAAAACUUAUAUAAUAGAGCACCUUUUUGGAACAAACCAAAAUCCAUUUGAUCCUUCUUUUUCUCAUCUUCUAUCAAGUCUCUAUUAUCAGUCAAAUUACCAUAUGGGUUUCUGCAGUUUUUUUUAAUCUCCCUGGCCGUAGUACUGUACAUGCUAAUGCUACACAUGACUUAGAUGCUUUAAUCCAUUCCUCUCUCUCGGUCUAAUGAUUGUGAUUUUGUUAAUCUCAACACAUUUGAAAUAUGCACUAAAACUUUAAUCAAAAUCAUACUUGCUGUUUGCAGGCGGCAUGAACAAUGGUUGCCAGCCAGCUCAGCCUCCAGUUCCAAGUAAAGAUUUUCCCCGCAACAUAUCAACUUUUGAUCGUAAGUAACACCAGUUACAGCUAGACCAUAUUUCACUACUAGGUAACUGUUUCAUCUGAUAAAGCCAUACUAUUUAUUAGCUCAACUAAAAUUAACAAUUUGUAAUGUACUUAAUCUGAAUUGUUGAUGAAUAAAUUUCCACAAAUUAUCAGUUAAAGAUUGGAACUGCUCAACCUACCCAUAAACUGUUUGGAUCUAGUUACAAAAAAAAUUGGUUAUGAAAAUGAUCUUAUAUGAUACUAUCGUAUGCACACCCAAUAGAACUUUCUAACAGCAAAAGCAAAGGAUAUAUACUCUUGCUUCUGUGUUUUUGGACUAAAAAAUCUUUCAAACUUUCAAUUAGACCAACAGUUGAU
rnacentral:lncRNA from 1 species